UACGUGAAACCGUUGAAAGGGAAGCGAAUGGAGUUAGCAAUUCGCCCUGCCAUAUUCAGUCUUUCGCGUUCCGUGACGGGCGUGCACUCGAUCUACGUAGACGAGUCGUGUUCGUACACGGGGCGCCACCGGCGCAUUUAUGGCGGGCGAGCGUCAACGKCGGUCUUCGUUGCSCUAAAAGGCCGCGAGGGAGGUGAACCGCCUUCGGGCUGUUGUUAUAACCUCGCGAGCUAUUCCUCCACCAAAAACCGGGAAUCCC
rnacentral:rRNA from 1 species